UGCGGAAGGAUCAUUACCGAGAGGAGGACUUCGCGUCCCCGGGGGGCUUCGGCCCCCGCUCUUCACCCUGUGCGUACCUACCGUUGUUGCUUCGGCGCGCGGUCCGCGUCACCGGCCCCGGGGUACUCAACCCGGGUGUCGCGCCCGCGGCCCCGCCGGAGGCCCCCAAACCCCGUCAUCAGUGUCGUCCGAGGAGAAAUCCAACAACUAAAACUUUCAACAACGGAUCUCUUGGUUCUGGCAUCGAUGAAGAACGCAGCGAAAUGCGAUAAUUAAUGUGAAUUGCAGAAUUCAGUGAAUCAUCGAAUCUUUGAACGCACAUUGCGCCCCUUGGUAUUCCGAGGGGCAUGCCUGUUCGAGCGUCAUUGCAACCCUCAAGCACCGCUUGGUACUGGGCUUCGUCCGCAGGGGCGUGCCCGAAAGACAGUGGCGGUCCGGCCGGGACCCCGAGCGCAGUAGAUUACCUUUCGCUCCGGGCGCGCUCCCGCCGCGGCCAGCCAGCCAACACCCCCCCCGAUUUUCAAUGGUUGACCUCGGAUCAGG
rnacentral:rRNA from 1 species